ensembl:lncRNA
UUUCAGUUGGGUGGAUGCCUGUACUCAAGCUUUUCUGUGCACACACAGAAGAAUUGCUCAGUUCAGCCCUGAGACGGCCACAGUUCAGAGGUGUUUCACAACUUGCCGGAGUCUGCUGAUCUCAGAGGAAUGUGUGGACAUCUUGCAAGGCUUUCUGCUGGUAAAGGCUGCCUAUGAGCCCACAGGUGCUCGGGCAUGGUUGGAAUCUGUAGGCACUCCAGGCUGCAGAUGGCUGAGAAAGAAGACCCAUCUGAGCUACUAAGGCAUCAUCCUUUAGGAAGAAGAGCCCACCUACCUAUCUAUGUAUUAUUGACCAAAUUUAAGAACAAAUGAGAAGCGCUUAUCAAGCUUGAAGAAAAUAAUCCAUCAGUGGCACAAUUUAAAUUCUCUGCAGUUCUCUUAUUAAUCAAAGUAACACUUACUAUCCUAUCUCCACUUCCCAUUAACAGUCAUUAAGCACUGUUGCUGAUUGAAGCAAUUUCUUUAGGGAUCUCAACCUCAUUUUUAAGAGAACCUUCUACGGUGGAAAACAAUAUCAUACAGUAACAGCGACUUCAGGAGAGGAAGGAGGUUCUUCAAUCAUGCUCUGACCUUGGCAUCUCUCCACGGCAGAAGUUCACCAAGUACACAACCAACACGCUCCAAACUUCUGCCGCCUCUCCUCCGGCAGCACCGCUGCCCCUGGAGUGACCAGGGAGGGAGAACACUGCCUUGGAAGACAGCUGCAGCCAGCAGGUUAAGUGCCUUUAACAAUUGCACCCGUCCGCAUCGGGGAGUAUUAUUUAUAGCUCUUUCUCAUACACCGGGAGCCAAUAAACAAAAAAGAAGCCAUGAGACAGCUCCUCCUGUCACCUUACUGUCAGCCCUCGGAGAAACAACACCGUGAUAAAUCUCAAAGGUUACACGGUAAAGGAAAGAUUUCUGGUGUUGACUUUUCCUCCCUGUUAUAAACAACGUCACAGACUGAUAGCUUCUGCUGGAAUGAAGGCAGUCCUGUACCGAGGAACCAGCGCAUGGGGGAACACAGAGGACAGUGAUGAGAGUCGAUAAGCAGUGGUGUGGGUCAAUAACCAGUCCAUUUAUCGACUGGUUGCUUUUGUCCACCUGCUUCUCGCUCUUCCAAGACAAACUUUUCUGGCUGGGAUUGCUCAGUCUGGAGAAGAGGAGGCCCAGGGAGACCUCACUGCUCUCUACAACUCCCUGAAAGGAGAGUGUAGCAAAGUGGGAGUCAGCCUCUUCUCCCAGGUAGCAGCGACAAGAGGAAAUGGCCUGAAGUUGCACAAGGAAAGGUUCAGUUUGGAUAUUGGGAAAAACUUCUCAGAAAGAGUGGUUGCACACUGGAACAGGCUGCCCAGUGAGGUGGUAGAGUCACCAUCCCUGAAUAUGUUCAAGAAAUGUGUAGACAUGGCACUUAGGAACAUGGUUCAGUGGGCAAUACUGGUGGCAGGUGGAUGAUUGGACUAGAUGAUCUCAGUGGCCUUUUCCAACUUUAAUAAUUCUAUGAUUCUUUGUGUGCACCAGUGUCACCCUGCCAAUGUCCCAGUGGCCAGGUCCCUGGACUCAGUGCAGCUGGGUCUGUACUUGCAUGGCUAUUUUGCAACAGCUGCCCUCUCACUUCAGGGAAAGAGAGGAAAAAGAUGUGGCUUAGGUCGUGUGCGCUGCAUGCUUGCCACCUCCAUUUCUGUUUGUAACAAGCAAUAAUAGAGCACACCUUAAGAAUUCGGUGGCCAAACCGCAUGCUUAUUUUAUUCCAUAUAUACAUGGCAGGCUGAGUUUCAGGUUGGCAAAUUUCAGCUUAAAAUAAGGGGAAGAACAAAGCACCACUUAACUUUUAUGCAGAUAACAAUGCAAUUCCAGGCUCCACAAUAUGAAAUGCUAAGCUAGAUUUUGGAUCAAUGUAAUACCUACUCCCAUUAAAGCACUUAAAAAGGAAAAUGUCUUACGAAGUGUCCCAUUAGGCUGACAAAUUUACAACACUAUGAAUAGAAAACCAGAAUAAGGCAUUGUGUUCAGGGAGCAUGAAUGGAUUUCAGACCUGUAGUGUUUCAUCUAUAUGAAGAAGGUUAGAUAAGCCAUCACAUACUUUCUCACUAUUUAUCAGCUCCACGUGCUACAGACACAGGUAUUAAAGUAAAUUAACAUCCAGUUGUGGAGUGAGUGAUGGCAACUGCAGUGGGGCUCAAUAGAUGCACAUGGGAACAAAGUAGAUUUAAACUUCCAUCACUAUGCAUGCCACUUACCAUUAAUGCUACAGUGGAUUAGGAAGGAGAUCCGUCACCACGUCCUCCCAGACACUGGGUAUCAGCCCAAAGCCCGUGGUGUGAGGCGGAAAGAACAUUUCCCCACGCAUGGCACUGCUCUGCUCUUCUGCAGCCUCGUGCAAAGCCAUAGAGCUGAGUUGGAGAGCGUCCAAGAGCUCUGUUGGUGUUCAAAGGAUUGACACAGUAAAAUGAUUUAAAACAAAGCAAACAUAGGGGAAAAAAAAUCUAUAGGAAGAUAAAAAGGCUCAUUUUGAGCAUAAAAUUUAACCUUCUCUUUCCCCUUCAUGACCUGGUUGUGAGUCCUGUAAACCAGACAGAAUACAAAGUCACUAAUUGCAGCACAGCUAUUGAAAUAAUUGAUGCCAUAGCAUCCACAGUUUUCUGUCAUCUUUCUAGGGCACUCGGGCUGCAGUAACUAUGCAUUGCAGUAAGUUAACUCAUUGCAUUAUAUAGCCUGUUCAUCAAAUGAGCUGUUGGGAACAAUCUGUUCCUAGUCACGCCGGAGGAGGCUGUUUGUUUAACUACAAUGAUAUUUUACAAAAGGCGAGCACAUAUAAUACCACACUCGUACAGCUGUAGAUAUUUUUGUCUUAUUAAAACGGACGGAUAUAUGAUAGGACAAGGGGAAAAAGGUAAUUUUUAUUCUUGUGUUUUUAAUUUUUAAUGUGAGCACCAUAUUAUGAUAAGCGCUUCCAGCACAUCUUACAUAAUAGAAAAAUAAAAUAUCUCUGCACAAAACCAAGAGCCACAUAACACUGAAGGUCACUUGCCUUGCAACUUCACACAUAGUUCGUUGACCAAUGUGAGAGCAAGGCAAAUCGAUGUAAUUAAAAUAUACAAAAAAACAGUAAUAAAAAACAAUGGUUUUGUUUACACUGGAACUGAGCGGGAACUCUAUUACCUCUACAAACUAUUUUCACUUAGCACAAUUCAGAUAGAAUUAUUGCUGUGACCUUUUAAAAAUGUGAAAGCCUGAAUCGAUAGCCUUUCAGAGGCACGGCCGCGGGAGCAGAACCGACUGUGCUGUGGCAGUGCACAUUUCUGCACCAGAAGGCAGCUGAAACCUCAUUAUCAUCACUCACGAGCGAGAUGACGAACGUGUCACAGGUGAGCAUGGGCAGGUGGGUGGGAGAACCUCUGUGUGCUCGGGCAUCCACCUGCAGCACUCCUCGUGCUGGUGGAGGUGAGGUGUAAGGGUGAGACGCAGGGGUGUCACUCACUGACUAUAACCUCCCAUCUGUCAGGGAGGAUGCAUGAAGAGAUGUCACCCAGCACUGAAAAAUAGCAGUUGGGAAAUCAGUAACAUUCCUCUAGCUAAAGGGCAACGUAAGAACCCCCAUGCUGAUAUUUCUUCCCACCAACUACUGGGAUCACCAUGUUCCCUUUCUCUCCCAAAGAGAAACAAAGGAGUCAUAGAAUCACUAAGGUGGAAAAGACCACUAAGAUCAUCCAGUCCAACCAUCAGCCCGUCCCCACUGUGUCCACUAACCAUGCUCCUCAGUGCCACAUCUACUCUCUUCAUGAAAACCUCCAGUGACAGUAACUCCACCACCUCCCUGGGUAGCCCAUUCCAGUGCAUCACCACUCCUGAGAAGAAAUUUUUCCUAAUAUCCAACCUAGGUCUCUAUGGUUCAUCCUCAUAGGGUAUGAGUGGGGCACUCAUAUCAGCGCCACCUCUGGGGCUAACAAGGGAGUUUGGGAAUGACCCUCAGGAAUCAGAGCAAAUUUUAUGUAUGACGAAUCUCUCAAUUUAUCAGCAAAAUAUUAACACAUGCAAGGGCUUCCUUCAGUGGCUGAAGUAAGAAAGCCCAGCAUUAUUCAAAAACACUUCAGUGAAAGAUGCAUAGUGUUUUCCAACAGUGUUGACAUCAGGAAUGUGCUGGCAAUUCAGUGUAGCCCUCAUGGGUGUUAAGUCAUGGCUGCACAUCUCUGAUCUUGGUAAAGAAGGGGCUUUAAACCGCCAGGGGUCCAGCCCUGCUUUCUGCCAUCCAGCCUCAAACAGACCAGUGGUGCUGGAUGCCCAGCACUAGAUUUUGUGCCAGCCACAGCUCCAGACGAAUUAAAAAACUGCACUGAUAACCCAGGAUGCCCACUCUUUGUUGUGUGGGGACUACCAAUAAUGGUACUGCAUUUCAGGAAAUAAAAAGCCUCAUUCUGAGUUGAUGAGCAUCUUUUCCAGAAGUGCCCAUCUGCAUUUGAAGCCCAGCAUUCGGGAGGCAGGGCAGGAACUUGGGCUAGCUCUCCCAGGCACUGCCAGCUGGACCAUCAAAGUGCUGUAUGGGAUGUUGUUUGCCAUGUAAAAUAUCCACUGAAUUUAUGUGACACCAGUACCUGCCACAUAGAAAGAGCAACCGUCAAAGAUGCAAAGAGCAUCCCUCAGUGCCCUGCUUCACAGGACACCAUGCUUCCAUCUCCCAUGAGUGCUGUGAAGUGAUUGCUUUUGACUAUUGUCUUACCUUAACAUCCUCCAAAGAAUAACAGAUAAUCAUGGAAACAAACAAACAAAACAAACAAACAAACAAAAAAACUAUUUCAUUCUGCUCCAAGUAAUAUAUUUCUCAAGGACUUACAUAUGAUGAAAAAAUAAAUUUCCCCUCUGGCAACUUAAUCAGUAGAUAACUACGGUUGUUCGAAGACAGAAUUUUUACAUUAAACUUGGAAUCUACACGACUGUUUAACAUCAUUAAGGGAAUAUUAUAUUGACUGCAAGUAACUGGUUUCCAUGUGGUUAUAUCAAUC